rnacentral:tRNA from 1 species
GCUAGUAUAGCUUAACUAAAGCAUAACUCUGAAGAUGUUAAGAUGGGCCUUGAUUAGUCCUACGAGCA